CCCGGCUCUUCUAACCAGAACCAACUUCCUAACAAGUCAGCUACAAUACCCUCAUAAUCCAGACAUCUUCCAAAAGCCCAGACGCAACAUGGAAAUAGCAACAUCUACCUCCCAGAUAACACAGAUAAAUCAUUGACCCAAAUGAAGUCUGAGAUUCCAGGAAUCAGUGUGGGUGUCUGUUAUUUCUGGCUUUGUGAAAGCAGCAGGACCCGAGGGACAGUUUACUUCGGCAGAAGAGGAAU